rnacentral:lncRNA from 1 species
AAGAAGCAACACACCAAAGCUGAAAACGUCGGAUUUGAUUGAGUAAAUGCCUUCAGAUGCAUACUUCGGAGACAUAUAACCACUGAAACGAGUUAGAAGCACAAGACAGUAUUAUAUCUAAAAUUACAAUGUGGUAUAUGACCUAAAAAUGGUAUUGCAGGCACUAUAUAUGUUGCAAUUUGUGAAACAAAGGUAUGCUUACUAUGUUCCCACUACCCUCUUUGUGCUUCCUUGAGUGUCAUUGGAGCUGAAAAUUUUUGCUAGGCCAAAAUCAGAAAUUUUAGGAUUCAUGUCCUGGUCCAAGAGAAUGUUGCUGGCCUUGAGAUCUCUGUGUAUGAUGCGCAAUCGAGAGUGCUUGUGAAGAUAUAGAAGACCUUGGGCUAUCCCUUCGAUU